rnacentral:lncRNA from 1 species
GGCAACUGGUUGGUUGGGUUUUCUGAAGGUGAGAAAAUCCCACUUCCACUGUCCCUCUAUGUCCUUCGGGACUUCAUGGUAACCAGGUGUCAGCAUUGCCCAGAACACGAGGGAAACAGCCCCAUCUUCCACCUGAGGCGCUGCCCGGCUCCGCCAUCCGGGAGCUGAGGCCCGGGCCCAGAGCUACACGCCGGACCCGGGCCCGGCCCCUGCCCGGCCCGCGGGCUCCGAGCUCCGGGUCGGGGACCGGGACCCGCCAGUGCCGCGUCCCCCAGCCCGGGCCGGAGCCCGCCGGGAGCAGCG